ensembl:lncRNA
GAGAGAGAGAGAGAGAGAGAGAGAGAGAGAGAGAGAGAGAGAGAAUCAAAUCCUUUUGCCGAAGAGGGGGAGAGAGAGAGAGCGAGAGAGAGAGAGAGAGAGAGAGAGAGAGAGAGAGAGAGAGAGAGGGAGGGGUUGUCUGAAGCAGGGAAGGGAGCGAGCAGUGAGUAAGAGUUUUGAAGUUCAACAAAGUUACACACACAUCUCUGACUACACACACAGCUCUUACUAAUCAAUUGACAACCUAGGAGUCGUUAAUUAUUCAGAGAGAGGGAGAGAGAUUCAUGGCCUUUCAUGUGAUCAAUCUUUCAAAGAGACAUCUUAGGGCGUGGAAUUACAGCAUGUCAAAUCUUGACCUAUGAUCCUGUGGUGAUCAGGAGAGGAGAAUAUCCCAAGGUGGGUAUAAGCAUGUGAAUAUGUUUUAACUGUACAGUGAAGAUAUAAACAUAGUCCUAAUCCCAACAGAAUGUAACAUCUAAACUGUGACACUUAUGGUCGCUUUAUUCAAUACUUUUAGAGGCAUCUGCACUCCUUUAUCGUGAUAACAUCCAAAUCCUUUCAUUUGAUUUGAUUCAGGUUGAUUUAUUAAUUUUGAGCUCCAUUAAGAUGCACUAAAACAAACUUAAAUGAACUGUUAAGUAACUUAAAUCAGAAGUAGUUUAGUACAUAUGUGUAGAUAAAAAAUACUCUAUUCCUGCCUGAAUACCAGUCCAUAAGUUUCCCCAUAAAUAUAAGUGAUAGAAUACCAAUCAUUGAAUAGUAUUCGUCAUGGAAUUAGAAAAUCCUGCUUGUACGACUUUGCUGUAGGACGGUUAAGGCCGAAAUCAACGGGAACUCAAUCACAACUUAUUAUGAAUUGUAAUUAUGACGGGGUCAUAACACCACGAAACAGAAAGGAUAAUCGUUGAUCUUACAUUUGAUGAAAAUGAAUCACCUGUUGAUGUACUGAACGUUGUAUGUUUACGGAGUUUGUUUAGUGAAAAACAGUAUGAAUCAACGCUUUAAAUCUUAAUGUAUGCCACUAUACGCGUGCAUCCAGUUUCACUAUAUGGCCUAUGGAAGGGAUAGCUUUAACUGGUGGCCAAAUCACUCGACAAAAGACUGAGGAAUCCUCCCCUGUAAGCACUUCAGACAAAAUAUCAACAAAUUGCAAGAGAAAAAGAAAAUUUAUGAUGAAACCAACAAAUCCUGUUCCAAAAAGUCUAAAAGUAGGUGUCUCGCUUUGAUGUAUAAUUAAAAUGAAUACAAAACUAAAUAAAAGUCAAUAUAAACGAUUACUUACAGUGAGACUGCCAGUGUGGAGGCUUUUAGGGUUGAUAUUAGGGCUGUAACGAUACACAAACUCACGAUUCGGUUUGUAUCACGAUUUUUGACCCACGGUUCGAUACAUCCCACGAUUUUUUGAAAUUUAAAAAGCAUUUUAUUUAAACAACACUUAUACCAAUUAACUUAAUGUAACAUUUAAUAACAAAUAAUUUGGAACACUGAACAGAUUUGAACAGAAAGAAUACUAUUAAAGUAUAGCUAAAUGAAUAAAGAAAUAACGUGUGGGAGGAUGCUUUUUUUCAACUGUUUGGUUGGUUUAGUCAAAUAUCCUUAUUAGCACUUCUUAUUAGGCUAUGUAGCUUAAAUAAUGACAUAAUCAGGCCGUAUAGAAUGCAACAUGUUUAAUAGCCUAACUUUCAAUAGAUGGAGAAAAACCUGAAUGUCAUGAACGUCGCAAUAACGAGGCGUUACGAGUAGCAUAUGUGUGUGCGCCAGAAUGGCAAUGUGCGUAUGCGUGUGUGAGUGACGUCAGCGAGUGAGUGGACGAGCGAGGAGAGCGAGCGGUAGCGCGUGUGUCUAGUGAAGAAGCGAACGAGUCUGAUCCUGUCAAUAAUCGGUGGCCGCUUCAUUCCGACCUACAAGCAGACAAACUGCCAGUCAAAUCACACAAAACACUAGAGACAGGAUCACACAGGCCCCCUCUGGAUAAAUGUCGUUCAUAUCGCAUAUGAGCACUUCGACGGCUGUGGAGAAAUGCGAUCCUCCGUAGCCACGGAGGAUUGCAGUCGCAUACUUACGGCAUCGAUAGGAGGGGGGCGCUGUCAGCAGACUAUUAUUUAGACAAAUUAUUAGCAAAUUUCAAUCGGACAAUUUGACCGCAGUUAGAAAGGGCGUAUCGCGCUUCUGCCUUCUCACACCGCGAGACAGGUUCGUGGCUUUGAGUAUCGCGAUUUUCGGUUUGAUACGCGUAUCGUUACAGCCCUAGUUGAUAUAAUUUCAUAGUUGUCUAGUUACCGUUAAGCAACGACAGGCAAAUUCAACCACAUAGUUCUAAUGCAAACCAUGAACUGGAGGCGUGAAUGUGGGUCACGUUCUUCCUCAGAAGUGAAACGGGAAGGCCUACCAUUGUGUCUUGCAUGUUUUAUCUUGUUCCACAAGGCCGGUCUGAGUGCACGUUGAGAGACACCAGGCUAGGUGUGGAACUGAUUGACAUUUCAGUCUGGGCGCCUCUGACAAAGUGAAUUUGUGUGAAAAGAUUAAAGAUUGUGUCACCAUCUGUUUCUGAGCUGUGUUUGCAUAUUCCCAUAAUCAUUGAACAUCUCCCAUAAGUGAUAUUAUAUUGAUAGCAUUGAUUGAUUUGUUAUAAUAAAACGCCUAAUGAAUUAAGUUAUUAUAAUGUAUCGACUGACUGACUUGUGAUAUCUAUAGGGAAGAACAAUCAACUGAAGGCUGGCCAGCAGAGGGCAACCAAAUCCUUUUUGCAGAUUCAACCCAUGAAAAGAUUGUCAUUUGUGAUGUUCUCAUCGUCUCAACCAUCACCACUAGGCCUACAUGCUGCAAAUAAUAUUGUUCCCGUUAUUGAUAAGGGCCUCCUUUACUCGCGUGACAUUUUUACUAAUGUCAACAUUUACGCACGUAUCGGCGUGUCCAGUUGAAAAACAAGACAGUGGAAAAAAAAAAUAAAAAAAAUAAAUCAAAAAGACAAAAAACAAACAAUCAAAACAGUGAUCAGUUAGACGUUGUGUGAGAGUUUGAACAGGUGAGUUUUGAGUUGCGACUUGAAGGUUGUAAUGGUGUCUGACUGUUUUAUGUGUGGGGGGAGGGAGUUCCAGAGCCUUGGUGCUGAACAGCUGAAUGACCGGGCACCCAUUGUAGUGAGUCGUGAUGUGUGGAUACAUAGUACAUAGUUCAAGACUAGAAUUUUGUAGUAAUGGAGGUUUCAUAUUUUUACAAAAUGGAUUAUGUGAACAUUGCUGAAUAACAAUCAUGUAUAUUAAAUGUAUUGCAGGAG